rnacentral:rRNA from 1 species
GACGAACGCUGGCGGCGUGCUUAACACAUGCAAGUCGAACGGUAAGGCCCUUCGGGGUACACGAGUGGCGAACGGGUGAGUAACACGUGGGUGAUCUGCCCUGCACUUCGGGAUAAGCCUGGGAAACUGGGUCUAAUACCGGAUAGGACUCCGGACUGCAUGGUCUGGGGUGGAAAGCUUUUGCGGUGUGGGAUGGGCCCGCGGCCUAUCAGCUUGUUGGUGGGGUGAUGGCCUACCAAGGCGACGACGGGUAGCCGGCCUGAGAGGGUGACCGGCCACACUGGGACUGGGAUACGGCCCAGACUCCUACGGGAGGCAGCAGUGGGGAAUAUUGCACAAUGGGCGCAAGCCUGAUGCAGCGACGCCGCGUGAGGGAUGACGGCCUUCGGGUUGUAAACCUCUUUCAGCAUCGACGAAGCGAAAGUGACGGUAGGUGCGGAAGAAGGACCGGCCUACUACGUGCCAGCAGCCGCCGUAA